UACGGAGGGUGCAAGCGUUAAUCGGAAUUACUGGGCGUAAAGCGCACGCAGGCGGUUUGUCAAGUCGGAUGUGAAAUCCCCGGGCUUAACCCGGGAACUGCAUUUGAAACUGGCAAACUAGAGUAUUGUAGAGGGGGGUAGAAUUCCAGGUGUAGCGGUGAAAUGCGUAGAUAUGUCGAAGAAUACCGGUGGCGAAGGCGGCCCCCUGGACAGAUACUGACACUCAGGUACGAAAGCGUGGGGAGCAAACAGG
rnacentral:rRNA from 1 species